AACAUCACUUCCUCAGGAAGUACCCAAAGCUCAGGUAAAUAAUGUCUCCUUCACAGGUUCAGACAUUUGGUGUAUGUGCUUGGCUGAGGAGCCAAUGGGGCGAAGCUACCAUCUGUGGGAUUAUGACUGAACGCCUCUAAGUCAGAAUCCCGCCCAGGCGGAACGAUAUGGCAGCGCCAAAGGAGCCUCGGUUGGCCUCGGAUAGCCGGUCCCCAGCUCGUCCCCCGGGGCGUGCGCGCGUCCCCGCCACGCGUCCGGACCAGGGUCCGGUGUGGAGACCCCUUCCUCCCGGGGAAAGGGGCGCGGCAGGAAAGGGGGCCGCCCUCUCCCCCGUCGCGAAUCGCACGUUCGUGGGGAACCUGGCGCUAAACCUUUCGUAGACAACCUGCUUCAGGUCGGGGUUUCGUAAGCAUCAGAGCAGCUCCCUCUCUGCGAUCAAUUGAAAGUCAGCCCUUGACACAAGGGUUU
rnacentral:ncRNA from 1 species